rnacentral:rRNA from 1 species
AGCCCAACAGCUAGCCCUU